rnacentral:lncRNA from 1 species
UCAUUGCCUAAUGUAUCCCAGGAUGAAUUGCACGAAUUACCUCCAAAACGUGACUUUGCUUUUGAUUUGGUCCUUGGGACAAUCCCAAUAUCUAAGCCUCUCUACAGAAUGACAUCAUUUGAGUAAAUGGAAUUAGAAAAAGCAACUACAAUGACUAUUAAAUAAGGAUUUUAUUUGGCUUAAUAUUUCAUCAUGGGGUGUUCCGGGGUUUGUUAAAAAGAAGGAUGGAACAUUAAGGCUUUGUAUUGAUUAUAGACAGUUGAAUCAGGUGA